ACACAUGCAAACAUGUGGUUCAUGACGCUUCUCUUUCAACUUAGUUGCCCUUCGAGCAUUUCUAGUUCAUUUUGUUCGUUUUGUUCUGGCUUCAUGAGGUAGAAAGUAAACUGGCUAAACCCAGUACCCAGUAAUGUCAGGUGGAAGAGGAACCUUCCUCAACAUCAAAUGCAGAUCCCGAAGCUGGAAAUAAAAGCUACAAGAGUCUAAAGUUAUUAGUCAUUCACAAGUCACUUCCUUCCGUGGCUUUGUCUCAGAAAUAAACAGAGCCCGGUGUCCCAGUGCAGCCAUCGAGUCCCUGGCUUCAACAAUGAUUUCCAAAGGCUUGAGCAAUCACUACUGAGAGAGAGGAGCUGGGAUUCUGAUUAAGUUGCCCCAGUUGGGAAAGAUCUAGAAUCGUGCCAAAAGGUUUCCAGGACUGAUAGGCAUUUAAAAGUGAAAACAGCUCCGAGUCUGCUUGGGAUUCAUGAGCAGAGCUCCGGAGAGGAAAGAAAAAGAGCAUAGGAAAAGUAAGCGAGGCCCCCAGGAUCGCACACCUGGUAUAAAGGACGCUGACAUAAACUCCGUCUGACUCCAGAGCUCUUUUUUCAGCAUGAUCCUAUUCUGUCUCGCCAGUGGAUUGGCAGAUGUCAAUCUCAGUCCAGAUGCUUCCGUAUCAAAAGCUGAGCACAUCAGAACACUGAAGAGAGGCAUCAUCACACACAUUAUCAUAUCGCCUAUUCAUAAUCCUCCUUUUCUGCCCCAUGUCUUCUCAUAGCAGAUAUAAAUCACAGAGCAGCUCUGCGGAGUUAUGGGGACAACCAGCAUCUCUGCCCUCCCAAUCCUGAUGGGAGCUGUUCUGCUGUUUCAACAUGAAGGAAGACACGGGCUCUCCACUUGAGAUGCUUCGAGUUGAGUAGCCUCCUGUGUCUGUCACUUGUCCUGUUGCUGUGACAGAAUACCUGACAACAAGCAACUUUAAGGGCAGGCUCAUCUGGGGGAAGGACUGGCAGCAGGCAUUUGAGCAGCUUGUCACGUGGCAUCUGCCGCCAGGAAGCCGGAAGAGGCGUACAGCGAUGCAAUGCUCACGUUCCACCGCUGAUUUGUUCCAGGACCCCACCAGUCCUUGGAAUGGUGCUGCCCAUAGUUAGAGUGGCUUCCUAUCUCAGCUCACCUAACCUAGAAAUGUCCUCACAGGCUUGUCACACCCAGAGGCUUGUCUCCCAGGUGACUCUAGACCCUGUUGAAAAUCACUAUCAGCCAUCACAGUCCCAGCCCUCGUUUCCUCUGAAUGUUUCUUUUUCCCGAUCAUGCAUGAAUAUUGCAUUUUUUCUGAAUGCUUUUUGUCAUCUAUUGCUAAUUAUCAUGUGGGUUUUCACAUUGGAGACAUGGAGAAGCUGUCAGGAUAUUAACAGAUUUCCCCCACCCCAGCCCACCCCCGUAAUACUAACCUGUCCUUGCUUCCCCAGAACAAGACUGGUUUUGUUGUGGUAGAUUGCUUCCUAGGUGCUUUGUUUUGCUGUUAUUAUAUUUUGUCCUUUGAAAGUUCCCCGGCACGUUGUAUUGUACCAACUUAGUUUAGCGGGAACUAUGUUCCAGAAUUCUCUUUAUACAGCUCUACAUUAACUAGGUCACAGGAGACAGUUGAGAUCAACGAGCAUGUUGACUGGAAUGGUGGGACAUGCCUCUUAUCCUAGCCUUGGAAAGGCAAAGGCAGGACGUUUGCCACAAGUUUGAGACCAGACUCUUCUCCAUGGGCCAGCCUUAGCCACGGAGUGAGAAUCUGCCUUAAAGUGGUGGGGGAUUGACCUAAACCAGGAUCCCUGAUCUUCACCCUCACCAAGUUGGUACAGGACACCAGAACCCAAUGCCACUCAUCGGUUGUCAUGCUCCCCGGCUAGCCUGAUGAGGGGCGACAGCAAGAAGGCCUGCAGUUCAUCUAGAUCUUACUGGGCAACUCUUUCAGCGUCAUCAUCUUCUGAGCCAGUUGUGGUACAGGAAGUAUAGUCCCUUCCGGUAGACUCUGGAGGCACUUGGCAAUGAUGACCGAUGUAGGCCCCAGUGUCUUUGGGGUUACAGUUCAAUUAUUCCCAAUUCCUGCCCAUCUCCCUUUCAGCACUGUACACCUUGCCAACUUUAGGUUGCAAUCCCCCUAAAACCAAAUCAGCAACUCACAUAUAAGCUGUUUAGACAUCUCCCUCAAUUGCCAAAGGGCCAAUCCACAUGAUACAUCCCUAUAUUAUGUAGUGUAGCCCAACUGACCCUUCUCCUCUGAUCAAAGCCAGAUCGGAACACUGCUUAGGAGUGAGGUUAGUCUAAAUAGACUUCUUCUUUGUUGGUUUCAUAGCAUCUGUUUGUGACAUGCUCAGCUCUACUCUUGCACCAGGGCUAAUCUGUUGCACUGGUUCUUACUUGCCCCCUGACCUGUGUUGGGCUUAGUCCAUUUAUGCAUUGAUAGAAGACUUUCUUCGGUCUCUCUGUGCCAGCCUGGGCCAUACUGUUCUAGCUCUGACUCCAUCCUCUGGGUCAAGUUCUGGCUUGGAAGCUCCACCCUAACAGAAGCCUUCACCUCUCUAGAAAUACUUCUCCUCAUGGUUUAAAUAUCUGUUGCAAUGUAGCAACUUUUCCCUUCUUCAGUUUGGCAGCAAUCAUCUAUGUCUCAUGAUUUCUGGAGCCUGAAAGCUGUUUAGCUCGGUAGUUCUGGCUUGGAGUCUGUCUUGAAAUGUUAACCAAGGCGUCUGCUGAGACUGCUGUCCUCCAGAGGCUCGGCUGGAGCUGAUCCAAGAGCAGUUACAUGGUCCAUGGCAGGAGGCCUCAGGACCCUAUCAUGUAGUAAGUACUUAGGAGUACUGAAGUGAAUGAGAGAGUCAUUGUCCCCUACUCCAAGAAAAUACUAUUUAACAGAGAAGACAAGAAGAAGCCAUGUGCCUUUGAAUUCCAGGUCAACGUACAUUAGCCAUUGCUACAGAGUCAACAAGUCCAGGUCAUCUAGGCAGAGAAGAAUUAGACUUCAAGAGAAGAGUACUUAAAAAAAUGUGAACACAGUUCAAAACCACCACACUUUGGAGCUUGAGAGAUGGUUCAGUCAGUAAGGAUUUCCCCAUAAACAAGAGGACUUCAGUUCACAUCUCCAGCACCUGUGUGGAGUGGGGCAGCAUGAGCCUCUAGUGGAACUAGGAAGACAACAAGAAGGUCCCUGAGGGCUUCUGAACCAGUGUAGCUGAAUCAGCAAGUUCUAGGCUUAGUAAGGAUCCGUCUCCUAACAUAAGGCAAAAAACAAUAAAGGAGAAUAGCAAGUGUCAACCUCCAUGUGCGGCCCCUGACACACUCAUGUGCCUAUAAAUAGACACACAAAUGCAUUUCUAAAAACGUCCACACCCCUUCCAGGUACCUUUCCAUCGUUGCUGGUCCUGUGUACCUCAAAGUACAUGAAUUUUUUUAAAACUUUAGUUGAACUCUAAAACUAAAUUCUCUCAUUCAGUUACUGUAGGUAAACAUAUUUAAAUGUAUGUUACUCCAAAAUUAUAAUAAAAUAUACUUGGGGAGUGAGAAAGGUAUAGAUAGAUAGAUAGAAAUUUAGUUCAUAUCUAAAGGCCCCAAAACACAAACUAAGUCAGCCAAGGAUCAAAAACAUUUGAGGGAAAAAGUAUGCUCUGUAUUGAGCAUGCCCAGAUAUUUUUUCUUGCCAUAUUCCUCAAAUAAUGCAAGAAACACCUGUUUCUGUAAUAUUUAUAUUAUGUUUGCUAUCAUAUGGAAUCUAGAAAUGACUUAAACUAGAUAGGAGAUUGAUUCAGGUUAUGUGCAAAUAGCACAGCAUUCUAGAUCAGCAUGUUGAGCAUCUUUGGUCUUGGCUUGCAUUUAAUCCCCCAGUUACAUGCUUUGCUCUUUGGCACUGAAAUUUCAACCUUGUUUUUUGUCCUCACUGGACAAUGUAGAGACAUGGCUGCCUAGAUUCCUGAGAAAGAACUUAGAUCUCUGGACUGGGAUCACAGAGAAGGCAGACCUACGUAACAAAUAUGAACUGUGAUCUUAACUCCUCCAAUUGCUGGCUCUGUGCCUCUCUAUGGUCUGGUUCCCCCAUCUGAGAAGUGGAAGGUGUGAUAGUGACCUUGUCGGAGGUUCUGGUGCUCAAUUGGAGUGUGCAAUGCCAUAGACAGCGAUCCACGAGCACUGAUUUCUGUAAUUUCUGCUUUGUAUGUAACCAGCUGCCUUACCCUGAUUCCAACAUCAGAACAAGAGGACAAAAGCUACAUUCCUGGGGCAGUUUCAUUGACAUUUAUCUGGUUGUCAUCUUGUCCUGGAUUCUAGCUGUCACUUGUCAGUCCUUUUUUGAGGAUUUUGGAUUUGUAUAGGUGACAUCUCCUCCUUCCUCACGGGUUUGACUGGGAGACGUCAGGAGGUUGUAUCAGGGGGGAGCAGCCAACCGUCUUUUAAACCAGAACACUUGUAUCUGAUUUUUAAAAUACCUGCUUCAAUGUGAUUCGAGUUAGGAGGAGACUGACACUAUAAUUCAAUUGCUGUGUAGAAAUAACUGUUAAUGUA
rnacentral:sRNA from 1 species